rnacentral:rRNA from 1 species
GUAGGCGGUCUGUUAGGUCGGGAGUUAAAUCCGGAGGCUCAACCUCCGCCCGCUCCCGAUACCGGCAGACUUGAGUUUGGUAGGGGAAGGUGGAAUUCCUAGUGUAGCGGUGGAAUGCGCAGAUAUUAGGAAGAACACCAGUGGCGAAGGCGGCCUUCUGGGCCAUAACUGACGCUGAGGAGCGAAAGCUAGGGGAGCAAACAGGAUUAGAUACCCUGGUAGUCCUAGCUGUAAACGAUGGACACUAGGUGUGGGAGAAUACGUCUUCCGUGCCGCAGCUAACGCAUUAAGUGUCCC